rnacentral:lncRNA from 1 species
GCGGCCGCCGAGCACAUGGACCCGCUGGUCAAGCGGGCUCUGCAAGGCCAGGAUGAAGAGAAGCUGCGAACUUACCACUCCCAGAGCCCCCCGAGUGGAUAUCCGCGUGUAAAGGAUGUUGGCAGCCUCGGUGACCUCGGAGUCACGGCUGGACCCACCCUCCCCAUAUCCUUUAGGCGUUCCAGAAGGACUUUGAGAACCAUCCUUUCCUAAAUCAAAGGUGGAAUAUUUGGCGAUUUGGAAAAUUGAGAUGAGAAGCGUUGACUUAAGAGAUGCCAAGUCACUCAGCAGAUGUCACACAGAUGACAACUAGCAAAGAUGGAAGGCUUCAUGCUGGAGGCAGUUCUAUAAGACAGCUGAGUUCUCCAGAGCUGGAGACAGACUUGCUCAGGUGAUAGAUCCGGCCAUGAUAUUGGCCAUAAGAGAAUCUGACACUGCAGAAGUCAUAGAAGAUUCCUGAAACUGGGAAAGAUGCCUAGAAAUCUGGAGAAGAGUGAAGAAGACUCGGCUCUCCAGUGUGGUUUUUCCAACAGGAGUCAAAUGUAAAAGGACAUGAGUAUGUUGGGGGGAAAGAUUGGUGGAGCUAACCAGCCUGAGUUCAUCCUUACUGUCCUCUUCACAAGGAGAGCAAGAAGAACUCCACAAAUGGCUCAUGCUUACGGUUUCUAACCACGGUCACACCUACAACACACUGACUGAUAAUAUCAUUAUAGCACACA